CCCUCCCCUGCCUUCAGGAUUAGUUAGUUAAAUGUGACAUAUCAAAAUGUACCUAGUUAUUCUCCUGAUGGUGUAGUAUAUACUGGUUUGCGACAAUCAAUCCAUAUAUAUAUAUAUACCAAGUAUAUCAGAAAAGCAGACCCAUAUUACUGACUUUCCAACAUUCCUGGAGAGGUCCUGUCCCACAAUAUUGUUCCCUGGUGUCCAGCAUCCGGACAUCAGGAAACUGACUACAGGUAGUACAGUGCAUGCACAGCAUUACACUAUUACCAUGCAGACAGCGCUUCAGCACUUCAAUGUUAGCAUGUAUGAAAUUUUAAGUACAUAUCUUCUCACAUUUUAUGUUUUCCAGAUACUGUUCGUGAUUAUGUUAUUUAUGCCAUCCACUUCCUCAUAAUGAACAAACAUCUGUGCCA